rnacentral:lncRNA from 1 species
GAAGUCAUAAGAGCAUCUAUCCUAAAUUCAUUGAGUUGUACUAAGAAAGGGCCUGCUUAAUCAAAGAAAGGGAGGUAGAGAUGUAGGUGCAAAAAUAGAGAAAGAAGGUUGAAACUCACAGAGAUGCACAUAGGAGAUGAAAGCAAAGUUCUGCUAAGGAUGCAGUGGCCUGGGGUAAGUAGAACAUUCCCCUUGACCUUGAGCUAUGGCAUUCAUUUCAUGUUCUCAUCUAUGCCUGUGGUGACCCUGGCUCCAUCCACGCGGUCUCAUAUAUUCACUCGUUCCAGAUGUUGCUAUUCUAGCUACCUCUCCUCAGACUCCUCAGACCCUUCUGUUAUGAAGAUUCUGUCCUCAGAUUGUCUACAUUUUUAGAAAUUGAUUCUGCAACAGUUAAGGUUGGGAGGCUGGUUGUGCUGUGGACUAAGAGGGAAAGUAGCUCCUUUGGAUCACUGAAUAAAGCAGCUUGGAAGAUGUUGCCCUCUCUUGGAAUUUAUUCUAUAAGACACUAACUUUUCCUUCUCUUCAGCCAGUCAAAAUGAGAAGGACUACACAAAUAAUUGGAAGCAAUCCUCUAGGCCCUGAAGUCAUUAGGAAUCACCAAUUAGUCUCAUAAAGCUGAUGAGUCAAGUGGAGAACUUGAAAUUUUCUUCCAGCAGAGGUUCCCCACACCAUCUUACAGUACCAGCAGCAUGAAUAAAAGAAAGCAGCUAAGAGGCCUCCCUAAAUGCCAACAUCCAAAGAUGGGACUCCAGAGAGAGUUUUCUGUGGGGUACCGGAUAAAUUGACUAUUUUUUUCUUCACUAGGUGAACUAUUUUUCACACAAUGGCCAAGUUGUUUUUGUUUGGCUAUUAUCCUAACUACUCCCCAAGGGUCAAAUGGGGGGAGUAUUAUAAUCUACCAUAGAGACUGAAUAUGACACUGACCAUUGUAUAGAAAAGUUAUAACCUACAAUGCACAUUUGACUUUAGAUAUUAUUUCCCUAGCAUAAAAUAUUUCAAAAUUAUUCACAUUAAGGUCUCAGUAGCAUACUGGGUAGGAAUACAUAGUUAUGAGCAUAAAAAGAAAAAUUAGUACAUGAAUUUUAAUUUCUGUUCUGCAUCACUUCAUAGUAUGUUUGAGCUUUUAAAAACUUGUUGAGGCUGCAUUAUUUGUAAUUGCUCUGAAAUGAAGCAAUGUCAAAAGGAAGGCGAAAUGGAUUUUUAAAGAGACUAAUACUGGCAAUGUCAAAAGGCAUAAUUUUUAAAGCUUUACAGCAAAUUGUUAGAGAUUUAGGUAUAAUUGAAUUAGAUUAUGGUUUAAUUCAGAGCUAAUCAUUUUUUGUUCUAGCAAAGGAGACUAUC